GUACACGCUGUGACUAGCAUAUCAAUAAGCGGAGGAAAAGAAACUAACAAGGAUUCCCCUAGUAACGGCGAGUGAAGCGGGAAGAGCUCAAAUUUGAAAUCUUAAAGGGUUUCCCUUUACGAAUUGUAGUUUAAAGAAGUGUUUUCUGUUGAGGUUUUGGUAAAAGUUCUUUGGAAUAGGACAUCAUAGAGGGUGAGAAUCCCGCAUUGGACCUUUACUUUCAACUUUGUGAUACACUUUCAAAGAGUCGGAUUGUUUGGGAAUGCAGUCCAAAAUGGGUGGUAAAUUUCAUCUAAAGCUAAAUAUUGGCGAGAGACCGAUAGCGAACAAGUACCGUGAGGGAAAGAUGAAAAGAACUUUGAAAAGAGAGUUAAACAGUACGUGAAAUUGUCAAAAGGGAAGCGUUUGACACCAGUGUUGUUUUUCUGAAAAUCAAUUAAAGAACUGUUUAUGCUAAGCUGUUUAGACUUUAUCAGCUAACUGUUUAGUUUUGAGCUUUUCUUUAAUGCACUUUUCAGUUAACAAGUCAACAUCAAUUUCUUUUGCUGUAAAAAGCUUGAGGAAGGUGGCUUGAGAUUCGUCUUAAGUGUUUAUAGCCUCUUGCCUAUGCAGUCGGAGAGAUUGAGGUCUGCAGCGUAGAUCCUUCGGGGCUAAAUGCAUUUGUGCUAAGUUAUAACAUUUUAUAGACAACUUGUUGACUAUGAUUUGUCUUGUAGCUUACUCGCUUAUGUUAUUUUACCUACGCUUAGGAUGUUGACGCGCGUGUGUGCGUG
rnacentral:rRNA from 1 species